rnacentral:rRNA from 1 species
GACGUAGGGGGCCAGCGUUGUUCGGAAUUACUGGGUGUAAAGGGUUCGUAGGCGGUGCGGCAAGUUGGGAGUGAAAUCUCUGGGCUUAACCCAGAGGCUGCUUCCAAAACUGCUGUGCUUGAGUGUGGGAGAGGCGCGUGGAAUUGCAGGUGUAGCGGUGUAAUGCGUAGAUAUCUGCAGGAACACCCGUGGCGAAAGCGGCGCGCUGGACCACUACUGACGCUGAGGAACGAAAGCUAGGGGAGCAAACAGG